rnacentral:rRNA from 1 species
CGUUCCCGGGCCUUGUACACACCGCCCGUCACACCACGAAAGCGAGCAACACCCGAAGCCGGUGGCCUAACCCGCAAGGGAGGGAGCCGUCGAAGGUGGGGCCCGCGAUUGGGGUG